rnacentral:rRNA from 1 species
AUACGUAGGUGGCGAGCGUUGUCCGGAAUUACUGGGCGUAAAGGGUGCGUAGGCGGACCAUCAAGUCAGAUGUGAAAGUCCAUGGCUUAACUGUGGGAGUGCAUUUGAGACUGAUGAUCUAGAGUGCAGGAGAGGGAAGCGGAAUUCCUAGUGUAGCGGUGAAAUGCGUAGAUAUUAGGAAGAACACCAGUGGCGAAGGCGGCUUUCUGGACUGUAACUGACGCUGAAGCACGAAAGCGUGGGGAGCAAACAGGAUUAGAUACCCCGGUAGUCCACGCUGUAAACGAUGAGUAUUAGGUGUAGGGGACGAUAGUCUUCUGUGCCGGAGCAAACGCAAUAAAUACUCCGCCUGGGGAGUACGGUCACAAGACUAAA